UACGGAGGGGCUAGCGUUGUUCGGAAUUACUGGGCGUAAAGCGCACGUAGGCGGCUUUGUAAGUUAGAGGUGAAAGCCCAGGGCUCAACCCUGGAAUUGCCUUUAAGACUGCAUCGCUUGAACAUCGGAGAGGUAAGUGGAAUUCCGAGUGUAGAGGUGAAAUUCGUAGAUAUUCGGAAGAACACCAGUGGCGAAGGCGACUUACUGGUCCGGUUCUGACGCUGAGGCGCGAAAGCGUGGGGAGCAAACAGG
rnacentral:rRNA from 1 species